UGAAAAAGAUACGUACAAAAGCAAUCAUUUUGAACUUGAUGGACAAAGUUGGAGGAUGUCUCUGUAAUCAAACUUUGUGGAAUGCCCAUUUUCUCUGUGCAUCAAUAUCAUGAAUUUAAAUCUAAAUUGAGAACUAAAUUGUCUGCCAUCAUUUUCAUUGUCGAAGUCUUCAAGAACUUGGUUCCCCAUCCCUUCUCUCCUUGGGGGCACUCUUAAGAUAGGGAAGCUGUGCAAAACGUGAGAGAGGGUUGGGGAUUAAACUUCCAUAUAGAGAGCCUCUUAAGAACCCUGCAUCCAUCAAAAGUCCUCUAUUCUCAAGUAUCCACACUUGCUAUGUUAGGAUUCUACUACAUGUUGAAAGUGAAAAUUGUGCCAGCCAUAUCAUGUAUGAUCACAUCAUAAGUGGGUCCCAUUGGCAUGCUCAUCACCUAAGAUCCAAUGGCUAGUUCGAUCUGGUUUAAUUAAGACUAUUGAUCUCUGAUGGCCCACUAGACAAAAAUCAAGUAGCUUCUUGUCAUCUCACUGACAAUGAUUUUUUGUCGAUUAUCAUAAUUCAUGGUUAGAUUAGUCCAUUCACCACAUGGUAGGGAGAUUUCAGUAUUUUGAUUGUAAAUUUCAUCUUGAGAGCUACAUGUUAUCUCAUUGGACAAGGGAUACAUGGCACCUGAAUAUGCAAUCCAUGGGCAAUUAUCCGAGAAGGUUGACACAUACAGCUAUGGGAUGGUUGUGCCGGAAAUUGUAAGCGGUCGGAGGAGUAAUGACAUAAAGAUCGAACCCAUCACUCAAUAUCUUCUCGAAUGGUGUGACUUGCAUCCUAAUAUGGGCCACGUAUAAUCAGAAUCCUUCCUGUCCUCAGUGCAAGCAUCUUUUUCAGUUUCCCAGUGUUCAUCGAUCACUAGAUGGAAGCUCCCAUUGAAUCAGGAUAUCAUGGGGAAAGCGAGGGAUAGGGUAAGGAUUU